UUUUNAGNUUUUUNNNNCCCCGNANGACGAACGCUGGCGGCGUGCCUAAUACAUGCAAGUCGAACGCUUCUUUCCUCCCGAGUGCUUGCACUCAAUUGGAAAGAGGAGUGGCGGACGGGUGAGUAACACGUGGGUAACCUACCCAUCAGAGGGGGAUAACACUUGGAAACAGGUGCUAAUACCGCAUAACAGUUUAUGCCGCAUGGCAUAAGAGUGAAAGGCGCUUUCGGGUGUCGCUGAUGGAUGGACCCGCGGUGCAUUAGCUAGUUGGUGAGGUAACGGCUCACCAAGGCCACGAUGCAUAGCCGACCUGAGAGGGUGAUCGGCCACACUGGGACUGAGACACGGCCCAGACUCCUACGGGAGGCAGCAGUAGGGAAUCUUCGGCAAUGGACGAAAGUCUGACCGAGCAACGCCGCGUGAGUGAAGAAGGUUUUCGGAUCGUAAAACUCUGUUGUUAGAGAAGAACAAGGACGUUAGUAACUGAACGUCCCCUGACGGUAUCUAACCAGAAAGCCACGGCUAACUACGUGCCAGCAGCCGCGGUAAUACGUAGGUGGCAAGCGUUGUCCGGAUUUAUUGGGCGUAAAGCGAGCGCAGGCGGUUUCUUAAGUCUGAUGUGAAAGCCCCCGGCUCAACCGGGGAGGGUCAUUGGAAACUGGGAGACUUGAGUGCAGAAGAGGAGA
rnacentral:rRNA from 1 species